rnacentral:rRNA from 1 species
UACGACGGGGGCUAGCGUUGCUCGGAAUUACUGGGCGUAAAGCGCACGUAGGCGGCUUUCUAAGUCGGGGGUGAAAUCCUGGAGCUCAACUCCAGAACUGCCUUCGAUACUGGAGAGCUUGAGUCCGGGAGAGGUGAGUGGAACUGCGAGUGUAGAGGUGAAAUUCGUAGAUAUUCGCAAGAACACCAGUGGCGAAGGCGGCUCACUGGCCCGGUACUGACGCUGAGGUGCGAAAGCGUGGGGAGCAAACAGG